ensembl:lncRNA
GGGGUGCCCAUUUUUGGGGUUCAGUGCCCCUUUUGGGGUCAGUACCCAUUUUUGGGGGUCAGUGCCCCUUUCAGGGUCAGUACCCAUUUUUUGGGGUUCAGUGCCCCAGUUUUGGGGGUCAGUGCCCGUUUUCGGGGUUCAGUGCCCCUUUGGGGUCAGUACCCAUUUUUGGGGUGCCCAUUUUGGGGUCAGUACCCAUUUUGGGGCGCCCAUUUUGGGUUCAGUGCCCAUUUUGGGGUGCAGUGCCCCUUUCGGGGUCAGUACCCGUUUCAGUGCCCCUUUGGGGUCAGUGCCCGUUUUUGGGGUUCAGUGCCCAUUUUUGGGGUUCAGUGCCCCUCUGGGGUCAGUACACGGCCUCGUCGCCGUUGUCGUCGCUGUCGGGCCCGAAGCUCUCCCCGUUGUCGAAGUAGGAC